rnacentral:tRNA from 7 species
GGACCUUUAGCUCAGUUGGCUAGAGCGCACGAUUCACAUUCGUGAGGUCGCAGGUUCAAGCCCUGCAAGGUCCACCA